rnacentral:rRNA from 1 species
UCAGAUGUAAACAAAGACUGCCAAUACUACAUGCAGCCCGCCAGAGGACUACAAGUGAAAAACUUUAAACUCCAAGGACUUGACGGUGUCCCACCCAUACUAGAGGAGCCUGUCCUAUAAUCGAUACCCCACGCUAUACCUCACCCCCUCUUGCAAGAUCAGCCUAUAUACCGCCGUCGCCAGCUUACAUUGUGAAAGUUCCUACCGUAAGCACAACUAUAUGCCAUAAAAACGACAGGUCAAGGUGUAGCUAAUGAGGCGGCAGAGAUGGGCUACAUUUUCUAAUAUAGAAAACAACUGACCGCAAUAUGCAAACCUUUGCCAAAAGGCGGAUUUAGAAGUAAAACUGAUAAGACAUGUCAAUUUGAACAAGCCCUGGGACGC